rfam:Ovis aries breed Texel chromosome 13, whole genome shotgun sequence.
UCCCUGGUAGCUCAGAUGGCAAAGAAUCUGCCUGCAAUGCACAAGACCCAGGUUCAAUCCCUGGGUUGGGAA